AUUUUUCUUUUUCGGAAGAAUGUAGAGAAAAAGAUAUACACUUUCUUUUCCUUUCGUUCUUCUUAAACGGAGAGAA